rnacentral:rRNA from 1 species
UACGUAGGUCCCGAGCGUUGUCCGGAUUUAUUGGGCGUAAAGCGAGCGCAGGUGGUUUAUUAAGUCUGGUGUAAAAGGCAGUGGCUCAACCAUUGUAUGCAUUGGAAACUGGUAGACUUGAGUGCAGGAGAGGAGAGUGGAAUUCCAUGUGUAGCGGGGAAAUGCGUAGAUAUAUGGAGGAACACCGGUGGCGAAAGCGGCUCUCUGGCCUGUAACUGACACUGAGGCUCGAAAGCGUGGGGAGCAAACAGG